UCCUACGGGACGCAGCAGUGGGGGAUACUGGACAAUGGGGGAAACCCUGAUCCAGCGACGCCGCGUGAGUGAAGAAGUAUUUCGGUAUGUAAAGCUCUGUCAGCAGGGAAGAAAGAAAUGACGGUACCUGACCAAGAAGCCCCGGCUAACUACGUGCCAGCAGCCGCGGUAAUACGUAGGGGGCAAGCGUUAUCCGGAUUCACUGGGUGUAAAGGGAGCGUAGACGGCGACGCAAGUCUGGAGUGAAAGCCCGGGGCCCAACCCCGGGACUGCUCUGGAAACUGCGUCGCUGGAGUACGGGAGGG
rnacentral:rRNA from 1 species